UGGGGGAUAUUGCACAAUGGGGGAAACCCUGAUGCAGCGACGCCGCGUGAGGGAAGAAGGUCUUCGGAUUGUAAACCUCUGUUUUUGGUGAAGAAUAGAUGACGGUAGCCAAAGAGGAAGCCACGGCUAACUACGUGCCAGCAGCCGCGGUAAUACGUAGGUGGCGAGCGUUGUCCGGAAUUACUGGGUGUAAAGGGUGCGUAGGCGGGACUGCAAGUUGGAUGUGAAAUACCGGGGCUUAACCCCGGGGCUGCAUCCAAAACUGUAGUUCUUGAGUGAAGUAGAGGUAGGCGGAAUUCCGAGUGUAGCGGUGAAAUGCGUAGAUAUUCGGAGGAACACCAGUGGCGAAGGCGGCCUACUGGGCUUUAACUGACGCUGAGGCACGAAAGCGUGGGGAGCAAACAGG
rnacentral:rRNA from 1 species